rnacentral:rRNA from 1 species
GAACGCUGAAACCAAAUGCUUGCAUUUGUGGAUGAGUGGCGAACGGGUGAGUHACACGUGGGUGAUCUGCCCUACACUUUGGGAUAAGCCUGGGAAACUGGGUCUAAUACCGAAUAUUCACACCACCGUAGGGMUGGUGUGGAAAGCUUUAUGCGGUGUGGGAUGAGCCUGCGGCCUAUCAGCUUGUUGGUGGGGUAAUGGCCUACCAAGGCGUCGACGGGUAGCCGGCCUGAGAGGGUGUACGGCCACAUUGGGACUGAGACACGGCCCAGACUCCUACGGGAGGCAGCAGUGGGGAAUAUUGCACAAUGGGCGCAACUGAUGCAGCAACGCCGCGUGGGGGAUGACGGCCUUCGGGUUGUAAACUCCUUUCGCUAGGGACGAAGCCUUUUAGGUGACGGUACCUGGRGARGARGCACCGGCUAAYUACGUCCCACCAGCSGCGGUAAUACGUAGGGUGCAACCUUUGUCCGAAAUAACUGGCCGUAAAAAGCUCKUAGGUGGUUUKUCGCGUCGUCUGUAAAAYCCCGGGGCUUAACUYCGGGCGUCCAGGCAAUASGGGCAUAAYUUGAUUCCUGUAGGGGAGACUGGAAUCCCUGGUGUAGCGGURAAAUGCGCAGAUAUCAGGRGGAA